UACGUAGGGGGCUAGCGUUGUCCGGAUUUAUUGGGCGUAAAGAGCUCGUAGGCGGCCAUCCGCGUCGGAUCUGAAAGCUCGAGGCUCAACCUUGAGAGGCGAUUCGAUACGGGAUGGCUAGAGGUAGCUAGGGGAGAGUGGAAUUCCUGGUGUAGCGGUGAAAUGCGCAGAUAUCAGGAGGAACACCGGUGGCGAAGGCGGCUCUCUGGGGCUUACCUGACGCUGAGGAGCGAAAGCUGGGGGAGCGAACAGGAUUAGAAACCCCCGUAGUCC
rnacentral:rRNA from 1 species